AGCUCCAAAAUGACAAAGUGGACCAAAUAAAAGUGUAGUCAAGAAGAAAAUGCAUAAUGUGAGAGAUGAAAAAUAACUGAAUUGUGUGACUGAUCAUCUGAAGAAGUUCUGAGCAUCCCCAAAAAUGGGAAAAGUCUUGGAUAAGGGAUAACAGACAGUACUGGUGAAACUUCCCCUUACCAGUGGUUCCCUAUGCUGGGCAGUCGUUCAGGAUGAAAGAAAGGACAACAUCAGUAAAAAGAGAUCCCAAGACAAGAUAUGGCUGCAGGCUCCAUGUUCCAAUUUCACAGGAUUUUUUUUUUUGACCGCAUCUUUCAAGUCCGUAAGUCCGUGUUUCUGACAGUGAAGUCCUUCCUUUUGGCUUUCAUUCUUGGAUCUGAAAUCUCUCUUUGUGAAUGAUCUUCAAAAAUAUUUUCCUUUUAUAUUUGCAAGUGGAUGGAAUAAUGAAGAUUUAAAGAGCAUUCCUAAAAGAUUAAAUCAGUCAGAACUACAUCAGCUGUUUGAAGACAGGUCAGUCUAACCUGCUAAAGCGUGAACAAAUCCUUGCUUGAACUGAGUUUGAUGCUCAUG